rfam:Candidate division WS6 bacterium GW2011_GWC1_33_20 TR34_C0006, whole genome shotgun sequence.
GGACAAUUAGCUCAGUUGGUUAGAGCACUACAUUCACAUUGUAGGGGUCAGUAGUUCGAGUCUACUAUUGUCCA